UACAGAGGUCCCAAGCGUUGUUCGGAUUCAUUGGGCGUAAAGGGUGCGUAGGCGGCGCGGUAAGUCGGGUGUGAAAUCUCGGGGCUUAACUCCGAAACUGCAUUCGAUACUGCCGUGCUUGAGGACUGGAGAGGAGACUGGAAUUUACGGUGUAGCGGUGAAAAUGCGUAGAUAUCGUAAGGAAGACCAGUGGCGAAGGCGGGUCUCUGGACAGUUCCUGACGCUGAGGCACGAAGGCCAGGGGAGCAAACGGG
rnacentral:rRNA from 1 species